AGCCUUCUGUAUCCGUGCUGAGACUUCGCCACACACCAGACAACAUGGGCUGAUGAGACUCUCAGGAUAAGUGAAGCG
rfam:Schistosoma rodhaini strain Burundi genome assembly, scaffold: SROB_scaffold0016241